rnacentral:rRNA from 1 species
UGCCAGCCGCCGCGGUAAUACGGAGGGUGCAAGCGUUAUCCGGAUUUAUUGGGUUUAAAGGGUCCGUAGGCGGAUCAUUAAGUCAGUGGUGAAAGCCGGCAGCUCAACUGUCGAACUGCCAUUGAUACUGACGGUCUUGAAUAUUGUUGAAGUUGGCGGAAUAGGUCAUGUAGCGGUGAAAUGCUUAGAUAUGACCUAGCACACCGAUUGCGAAGGCAGCCAACUAAGCAGUUAUUGACGCUGAGGGACGAAAGCGUGGGGAGCGAACAGGAUUAGAUA